GACAGGCUGUCCGAGUGGUUAAGGAGUUGGACUUGAAUUCUUCUUUGAGUUAUCCAAUGCGGUUUCCGCGCGCAGGUUCGAAUCCUGCGUCUGUCG
rfam:Tortispora caseinolytica NRRL Y-17796 unplaced genomic scaffold CANCAscaffold_1, whole genome shotgun sequence.